CGCCUGUUGCUGCCGCCGAUUUAUGGUCCCCCAUCGAUAUCCCUCGCCUAUCGAUCUAUCUGCCGACCAUAACACCACACUACGGUUUCGAGGUUCAUUUCAGAGAAACAGGAGUGCAAAAGGAGGCUAUCUUUGCCCAACGUAUGCCAUCGUCCACACCCUGGGAUUAAGAGCCUCAUGCUCUACCGACUGAGCUAGCCGGGCUCACACUGCAGCUGUAGGCCACAUCUGUGAUUUGGCCAAUCGGGAACUCCAGAGGUACGCACAUACAUCCAGUACCAGUCUUUAGCCUGCCCGUUCACCAAUCCAUGGAAAUCCCUCAGUACAUCUGACCACGGAACUUGGUACAGUGACUGGAGAUGUUCCAGCCGGAAGAUAAAUUCCGCCACCGGCAUUCCCUUCGGGUCUCCGUCGAAGAUCAGGCCCCACCUUCGGAUGUGACUGCUCUCCUGCCUCGUAUCCCCGAUGCUCGUGCGGUUUCCUUGAUAAUGUCCACUCUCAUUACCCGUUUAUUGCAUCCAGCACGAUACGGGAACUUGUCGUUGUUAGGCUUGUUUCUGAUGUUCCGAUUCCAACGCUCGAUUAUCCACAAAAAGGGAUGAGACUACUUCCCUAAUUUCUCGCAUGAAACUUAACGUGCUGGCCUCCAUUGUCUCUUUAAAAGCGCUCAAUUCCUGCGACAGCGAUGCUCUGUAGGUCUUGUGCGCUUGGGCUACCGCUAUAGCCGACUUCAGCUCACUGGGUAGCUCCACUUCGCUCCUGGUUUGUUGCGUUGAUGACGGGGUACCCGCUACAUCGUCUCGGCUACGCAUUCCGACUAGAGAAGUACUCUCCAUUUCUUCGGUGGGUUUGGUAUUUUGUGCACGGGUAGUUGGACGCAUUUUCUCUUGCUCUCUAUCCCUCUGAAAGUCCCCGCUGCGCCGCACUUUCCUCGACUGCCUGAAUACCCCUUCGCUCAUGUGAUUCUUAAUUUUCAAUAUGUUUCAACAUUCAACAAAAAAAACGUAUAAUUAUUUAAC
rnacentral:sRNA from 1 species